UAUACAAAGAGAAGCGACCUCGCGAGAGCAAGCGGACCUCAUAAAGUAUGUCGUAGUCCGGAUUGGAGUCUGCAACUCGACUCCAUGAAGUCGGAAUCGCUAGUAAUCGUGGAUCAGAAUGCCACGGUGAAUACGUUCCCGGGCCUUGUACACACCGCCCGUCACACCAUGGGAGUGGGUUGCAAAAGAAGUAGGUAGCUUAACCUUCGGGAGGGCGCUUACCACUUUGUGAUUCAUGACUGGGGUGAAGUCGUAACAAGGUAACCGUAGGGGAACCUGCGGUUGGAUCACCUCCUUA
rnacentral:rRNA from 2 species